rnacentral:snRNA from 1 species
AUCGCUUCUCGGCCUUUUGGCUAAGAUCAAGUGUAGAAAUGCCACAGAAUAGCAAGUAUGUGGGCCAGUUUCACAUGGAUCCUUUCAAAGAAUGUCCUGGAAGUUUCCAUGGUUUAUAGCAUUUUCAGCAAGUUUUCACUGAAUCUUUUAAAUUGUUGCCAC